rnacentral:rRNA from 1 species
CCUACGGGAGGCUGCAGUGGGGAAUAUUGGACAAUGGGCGAAAGCCUGAUCCAGCCAUGCCGCGUGUGUGAAGAAGGCCUUCGGGUUGUAAAGCACUUUCAGUGGGGAAGAAAGCCUUGGGGCUAAUACCCUCGAGGAAGGACAUCACCCACAGAAGAAGCACCGGCUAACUCCGUGCCAGCAGCCGCGGUAAUACGGAGGGUGCGAGCGUUAAUCGGAAUUACUGGGCGUAAAGCGCGCGUAGGCGGUCUGAUAAGCCGGUUGUGAAAGCCCCGGGCUCAACCUGGGAACGGCAUCCGGAACUGUCAGGCUAGAGUGCAGGAGAGGAAGGUAGAAUUCCCGGUGUAGGGGUGAAAUGCGUAGAGAUCGGGAGGAAUACCAGUGGCGAAGGUGGCCUUAUGGACUGACACUGACGCUGAGGUGCGAAAGCGUGGGUAGCCAACAGGAUUAGAUACCCGGGUAGUC